rnacentral:snRNA from 1 species
AGUAAAUUCUAUAACCGAAAGAA